GCAAGCCGGCGACAUCGCGGCGCUGGUGGGUGGUCGGUCCAGGUUUCUGUUGGAUGGGAGAGCAUAACAUCCCGAAGAGAAAACGUACACAAACAGAUCAGGAAGAGACGGAACAACCAACAUCGCGUUUUAAGGCUGUUACAACCUCCGACUUCACUCUGGGUCCAUGUGGGAAUUUUAAAAUUAACUUUGAUUGAGUAGAAUGCUGGCUUCAGUGAGAGGUUGCUGUUACACUCAAAUGCUGACUAUCGCUGAGGACGUGUACCGGGACUACUGACGUGAUUUAGGCAGAAUAAUAUUCAGGCAAACAAAACUGCUUUUCGAAAUGGUAUAAGCACGUAGGUUCUCCGUGUUUUGGGAUAUAUAAGGUGCACACAGUGGUUUCGGGUAUCUGCACGUUUUGCUCUAGAGAAGUAUCAGCAGUGUAUCUGAAAGAUUAGGCAAGUCACUGUACAAUUAAAUGUUGAACACGUGCCCCAGAAUAUCACUUAGAGCCCCUCUACCACCACUGAAGGACGCUUGAAUGUAAAUUAGGAAUCAAGAUCUAAAUCCAUGACCUCCACCUGCUUGCGAUAACUUUGGGCUGCGCCUCUGUCCCAUCAAUUCUUCAUGCCGAUACAGCCACUUCAAAGGCACAGGCAAAACUUCUGUUGAUGGCCUUACAAAUAAGGAUUGCUUGAAUUCCUGAGGUCUCAAGGGAAACUACAAUGUUUGUACAGUGAUAAUGGGAACUGCAGAUGCUGGAGAAUCCAAGAUAACAAAGUGUGGAGCUGGAUGAACACAGCAGGUCAAGCAGCAUCUCAGGAGCACAAAAGCUGACGUUUUGGGCCUAGACCCUUCAUCAGAGUAGAGUACUCGCUUUGGAUCUGACACAUAUCUCAAAGAAUCCAGCUACGCUACGCUCAAGUGAAGGUCACAGUAGCAGACUACAAGACAUUAGCAAUGUGCUCUGACAGAAGUACAGAAGUGUGAGGAUAAAACCAAUGUAUUGUUGCAAAAGAGCACAUAACAUACGGAUGCCAAUGGAUUUAAAUCAAAGCAAAAAUGUUGACUUGGAGCCAAGGAGAGUAGUGAGGUUAAUUCUCCAACCAAAAUCUUAAUUUAGCAUGCCAUCAAAAUUUCAUGAAUGGCGAGGAAGAAUAUUUCCUUCCUUCAUUCCUUCCUCUCAAUGGCUUCCAGGAUAAAUGUGAUGUGCUGCAUGCUCUGUUUUCCACUUUUGGCUAAUUUGCCUGCCACUAUCAUUUUUGCCUCCAGCAUCAACAUCGGCCACUCUCACCACCCCAUCUCCUCGCCAAUGUCCAAAUGAUCCCCAGAGGAGGGCCCCAAGAAACAAGUUAAAUCAGGUUGCCCAAAAGCAACAUCAACUUCAGCAGUACUCAAUGCAAUUACUUUCUGAAUCCACCUGAGCUGUUAUACAACAGUGAUCAACGCAAGUGUGUUUAGAUCUUUCUGGAAAAGAAUAUCCCAUGAAGCCAUUAAAGAUCAGAAGAGUGAGAACAUAUGACGAAUUCAAAGUGAAGUUAUUCAAAUAGGCAUACCUAAGGGGACAAAAAGCAGUAUCCAACAGAAAAUCCAAUUGGAGAACAGCAAUGCACCAGCUUGUGACAACAUAGUAAAGAUGUGAUGUGAGUUUUGCCUCCAGCCAGCAAUGUUUACAUUAUCAUCCGUGACACGAAACUUGACGUAACUUUCUCAUGUUGAAGAAUCCAACAGGUCACAUGCCACAAUGGAGUAUAUACUGAUAAAAUGACUAUGAGAGUGUGGAAUCAUCUGAACCCUAUUUAAAGUUAUUCAGCUCGAAAAGGACAAGUCUGUGCAUUUUCCGAAAUUUAAUGAACAAAAUCCGGCAACAAAAGAGGAGUAUGCAGAGAGUGUAAAAAUUUGGUUCAGAAAUUUUCAUACUUGAUUCAAGACUCUAAAAAAAAUGAAGGAACUGGAACUAAAUAUUUUGCCACACCAUUUGGCAUUGAAGCUGUUGAAAUACCUGGAGAGCUUCUACUUGAAGUCUGCAAAGCAACAAUGAUCCAAAAACCAAAUACAACAAGACUUCAUUUAGUUGUUGCUGACUGUCCAAACUUCAAAAGACAGGUGCUGAGAAUUGCACCAAUGCUUAGAACUACAUUCAGCUAUGAGUUGUUUUCAAAAUGUUCUCUGGCAAAGAACUAUGCACAUCAGAUUAACAGAUGUGAAUUUGGAACAACAGUUGUGAAUAGCAACACUUUCAUUGCCAGCAGACGUAGGAAGGCUCAUUAAGGCAAAGAAACCUCAGCCAUUGCAUUAAAAUUGCAGAUCUGUUCACACCAGAAAUUGGAUGAAUAAUUACCAUAUUGCAUUUGUGAAGAUGAAGUUCCUUCUUCACACGGAGAGAAUACACCCAUUAUGUUGUUUGAUAUGACAUUAUGUGUAAUGGGAUAGAUUCAGAAGAACCUUCACAGGUCAAAAUGUGUGUCCAUGUGAUACUGUGCACUGAUUAAACUGUUACUUUGUAUUCAUCCACAACUUUGAGUACCAUCAUGUUUACCAAUAUGCUUUGAAUAUCUGACAUCUGAGGCUGUAAUUUGUAGCAGAUUGGACUUACCUUGCAUCAAACAGAUUUCAUCAAGAAUUGAUCUCCGCUGAUCCCAGUGUUUCCCUCUAAUUUUCCAAUGCAGUACUCAGACAUUCAGAAGACAUUUGCCCCUUCUGUGAUUUCAGCUGGAUUUCUGCCAUUGGAAUCACAAAUGGACAACCUACUGCUACACAUCACAGCAAGCUGAUCAUGCUGUACUGCCAGGUGGAAAUAUAUGGCAGCUUAUUUAGAAUCAGCACGAUCACCAAAUCUCCCAGCUUUACUGUUUUCCACUUGCUUUAUCAUUUCCUCCUUCAAAGCACAAUUAUAUCAGGGAUAUGGUGCCUCCUCCACCCUGCACCUCAUUAAAAGUCCUUGGCUUUUGGAACCUGUUCUCUCAGGCCUAUUACAACAUUCACCAUGUGACAUUUUGAAAUCUUCUCCUUCAUUAAGCUCACUAACAUCAGGCCUGACCUGGAGCCUUUUCAAUUAGAUUCUGCAGCUGAGAAAAGCUGCAUGAGUUCAACAUUAAUGAUCAUAAUUGGUCAUUUUUCUUUCCUCUCUUGAUGCUGUUUGUUAAUCCAUUUUUGGAAAAUAGAAAUCUUCAGGGAAAUGCUAAACGCAUUGACAUAAUCUAUUAACAGUGUUGCACCCCUUUUUUCAAGACUCCAUUUUAGUAACAUUAUUAAAGAGAAGCUGGUCCUGAGUGUGUUUUAGUUUGUCCUAUUCAUAAUGCUGAAGGCAUGACUUAAUUAUGUUACAAAUUACUGCUUUCAUUGCAGUUGGGAAAUUGUACAAGUAGCAUAAUUAAGACUGUUACUCCCAUUUGUAUUUUCGAGUGUGUCUGAAAGAAACAGAGGGAAUGUUUGUGUUUUAAAUCUAAUGGUUUGUUAACGCCAUUUUAUGUACUACAGUGAUACAAAAAAAUGGUAUGAGGAAAGUAAUUUUCCAUAUUCAAAAAUGAACAAAGUUAAAAUUGGCUCACUGUACAUUGAUUAUAAAAUGAAUCAAUAAGUAGAGUAGAUUGAUCCCAAAGAUUAUCAGCUGAUACCCAAGGAAAUUAUUAGGAAAACAUGUGCUUCAUGCAAAACAAAGCACAAACAUUGAAUUUGUAUUGCAAGUGUUAAUGAAAGAAACAAAAGCAAAGUGCUUUUUUUUUGCAGAAAAUAUAUUAAGAAUUUUGACUCUUCAGCUUUUGUGCCUUUUUAUGUACCAAGACAGCAAGCUCAUAAGACUCGCCUUACGGUUGCUAUGAUACCCUGGAUUUUGAGCUACAUUGGACUACACAUGAAUGCUAUGAACUUAAUUAGAAUAUUAAAGCAAAGUGUAUGAUUUUGAUGGUAAACAGUCUUUCAUUAAUAGCUUUCAUGCACAGAUAAAUUGAAAGCAUAAUAGAGGUCUACUGCUGCUUCACACAACA